UAGUUUGUUAUUAUAUUUUUUUUAUUAUUUUGAUUAUUUAUAUUAAUCAUUUUUUUGUUUUUGUAGUUUGGUUUUGAUUUAAUUAUUUUUGUGAUAAUUUAUUAGUACUGUAGUGGAACUGACUUAUUUUUUUUAAAGUUUAUUUUAUUUAUUUUACCUUGUGUAUCAGGAUAUAUUUAUAAUAUUUUAUUUAUUUAUCUUUCUCGAUUUUAUAGGAGUUAAAUAUAUAUUUUUUACAUUGUUUUAUAAAUGUUUAUAAUUUGUGUUUGGUAGUGAAAUGUUAUUCGUUUUUAAAGGUAUCUGGUUUUUCAAGAAAUGAAUUCAAUUCUUAUAUUUUUUUUAAUGAUUUUGUUUUUUCAAUAUUAUUUUAAUUUAUAUAAAUGUUUUUGGGGUUGAGCUUAUUAACAUAUUAUUUAUAAUUAGUUUAUUUAUUGUGUUUUAUGGAUUUGAAAGUGAUUAGUGAUUUGAGGAUGUAGAAUUUUUAUUCUUUUUAUUAUUUAUUUAAUAUUUAAUUUAGGUUUAUAUAUUGAAUAUGUUUAUUUAAUUUUUUAUUUUUGGGUAUUAUUUUAUUAUUAGUAAAUUUUUAUUUUUGUUGUUUUAAUUAUUUUAAAUUAAUUCGGCAAAUAUUAUAUUCGACUGUUUAUCAAAAACAUUUUUUCUUGUGUUUUUGAUUUGAAGUAUAACCUGCCCACUGAUUAAUUAUUAAAUGGCCGCGGUAUUUUGACCGUGCAAAGGUAGCAUAAUCAUUAGUCUUUUAAUUGAGGACUGGAAUGAAUGGUUGAACGAAAUAUACACUUUAUUUAUUUUAUUUUAGUUGAAUUUAAUUAUUGAGUAAGAAGGCUUAAAUUUUGUUAUGGGACGAGAAGACCCUAUAGAGUUUUAUAUUAUUUUUAUUAUUUGUGUUGGUGGAUUAAAUUUAAUAGUUUUAGUAUUUGGUUGGGGUGAUUAUAGGAUAAAUUUAACUCUUAUUUCUGGUUUAAUAUUGAUUUAUAGAUUUUUGAUCCUUGAUUUUGAUUAUAAGACUAAAUUACCUUAGGGAUAACAGCGUUAUUUUUUUUGAGAGUUCUUAUUGACAAUAAAGAUUGCGACCUCGAUGUUGGAUUAAGGUUAAAUUUUGGGUGUAGUAGCUUGAUUAAUUAAGUCUGUUCGACUUUUAAAACCUUACAUGAUCUGAGUUCAGACCGGCGUGAGCCAGGUUAGUUUCUAUCUAUAAUUUGUUAAAUAUUUUAGUACGAAAGGACCAAAUAUUUUAAAUAAUUUUUUAUUUAAUGUAUAAUUUUAAUUU
rnacentral:rRNA from 1 species